rnacentral:rRNA from 1 species
GACGAACGCUGGCGGCGUGCCUAAUACAUGCAAGUUGAGCGCUGAAGGUUGGUACUUGUACCGACUGGAUGAGCAGCGAACGGGUGAGUAACGCGUGGGGAAUCUGCCUUUGAGCGGGGGACAACAUUUGGAAACGAAUGCUAAUACCGCAUAAAAACUUUAAACACAAGUUUUAAGUUUGAAAGAUGCAAUUGCAUCACUCAAAGAUGAUCCCGCGUUGUAUUAGCUAGUUGGUGAGGUAAAGGCUCACCAAGGCGAUGAUACAUAGCCGACCUGAGAGGUGGACCGCCAAACUGGGAAAGGAGCCACGCCCCAAACUCCUAGGGGAGGCGCCAGAGGGGAAUCUUGGGCAAUGAACGAAGGUCUGACCGAGCACCCCCGCGUGAGGAAAGAGGGUUUUCGGAUCUAAAACUUCUGUUGAUAGAAAAAAAGGUGGGUGGGGGGGAAAACCCCAUCAGGGGAGGGAACCAACCAAAAAAGGACCGCCAAAUUACUU